rnacentral:rRNA from 1 species
AGACGUCAAUCAUCAUGCCCCUUAUGACCUGGGCUACACACGUGCUACAAUGGCGGGUACAACAAGUAGCCAACCUGCGAAGGUGAACUAAUCUCUUAAAGUACGUCUCAGUUCGGAUUGCAGGCUGCAACUCGACUGCACGAAGUCGGAAUCGCUAGUAAUCGCGGAUCACCACGCCGCGGUGAAUACGUUCCCGGGCCUUGUACACACCGCCCGUCACACCAUGAAAGUUUGUAUGCCCAAAGUCGGUGAGGUAACCUUUUGGAGGGAACCGUCUAAAGCAGGACAGAUGACUGGGGUGAAGUCGUAAAGGUAACCGUAA